AGUGAACGCUGGCGGUAGGCCUAACACAUGCAAGUCGAACGGCAGCACAGUAAGAGCUUGCUCUUACGGGUGGCGAGUGGCGGACGGGUGAGGAAUACAUCGGAAUCUACUUUUUCGUGGGGGAUAACGUAGGGAAUCUUACGCUAAUACCGCAUACGACCUACGGGUGAAAGCAGGGGAUCUUCGGACCUUGCGCGAUUGAAUGAGCCGAUGUCGGAUUAGCUAGUUGGCGGGGUAAAGGCCCACCAAGGCGACGAUCCGCAGCUGGUCUGAGAGGAUGAUCAGCCACACUGGAACUGAGACACGGUCCAGACUCCUACGGGAGGCAGCAGUGGGGAAUAUUGGACAAUGGGCGCAAGCCUGAUCCAGCCAUACCGCGUGGGUGAAGAAGGCCUUCGGGUUGUAAAGCCCUUUUGUUGGGAAAGAAAAGCAGCAGGUUAAUACCCCGCUGUUCUGACGGUACCCAAAGAAUAAGCACCGGCUAACUUCGUG
rnacentral:rRNA from 1 species